GCGGCACCCGGGACGCGCGGCUCCCCCUGGCUGCGCGGCGGCGGGGGGUGAGGGGGGCGGAGGGAUGGAGGGCGGGAGCCGCGCUGGUGAGGAGGAGCCGCCGCCGCCGCCUCAUCCUGCGGCACCGGCCGGCGGCGUGAGGAGCCCGGCGAGCGCAGGUGGCAGUGUAGAAGCCAGGAACAAAAAUUGGCAGAAAUUAUAUUCUGUGUACGAGAAAAUGAAGAGUGUACUCAUGACUAAGCACAGGAACCUGGAAAACCACAGGAUUCCUGGGAAGCUGUGGAGGAUGGGACAAACUCAGAGCUGGAGCUUGUGGAUUUUUUAGAACUCAUGAGUGGGAAAUUAUCCUGGUAAGAAGUGUUGAAGUGCAGCUAUCACUGUGUUUGUUUAUAUAUUUAUAGUCUUGCAUUUGGCUGUUCUUAUUCUAGUCUAAGAAGGCAUUUUGUCUAAACCUUUAAAUUGCUUUUGAGAUAAUGCAGUUAUACCACAAAUACCCACAGAUGACCAAGUUGCCUUGUGUUGACUACCCUGCACUAACUGGGCUUGGGCCCAGUUUUAGUUAUCCCCCCCAUUGCAAAGCAAGUUGCAGACAGAAUGAUUUAUUUCACUGUUAGAAAGGGCUAAGAGCAUACGUCCCAUUAGGUAUAACCAACCUGCUGUCACCUAUGAACUAUUAAAUUAUAGUAGCAUGUCAUCUUAAGAUUCUGGAACCCAAGUCAAAAUAAUUUUUUUCUAUCCACUGUUUAAAAAAACAUCCAGGAAACUAGACUUCUGGGCACCCAAGCCCUGAAGCUCUAAGUUCUCCAUGGAGAAACUGUAUCUCUGUUGGUGAACAGUAAAACCCUGAUCUCUGAGUCAGGUUUGUGGGUACCAUCAUCAUGCUUUCAAAAUGCAGUGUGCCUUGGAUAGAGUUCCCUGAAGAGUUAUCACACUUCUUAACUUCAAUUUAAAAAGAAGGAAAAAAGUUAAUAAAUCUAGAUCUUCAGUGCA
rnacentral:lncRNA from 1 species